rnacentral:hammerhead_ribozyme from 1 species
AUCCAGCUGAAGAGUCCAAAAUAGGGCGAAAGGCACAUCAUGAAU